CCCCUAUGCAGGAUUGUGACCUCACACUUGGGAACCAGGCAAAGCCUUCCUCCAGCUGCACUGGUAGAAAAGAAUGUUGCCUGAUUGACAGAGGCCUCUCAGCACCACAGCUUCAACCACGUCUUCAGCGCCACAGCAGAGAGCAGAGCUAGAGCUAAUAUUAACCACUAGCAGGAAGUGUGUGUCGGCCACAGCCAGCCAGGUGUUGAGAAGCGCUCUGCUGCUGAGGCUGAUGUGGUAGGCACAGGCAACAGGCACACGAUGCCUGUAGGAGACCAGUGCCAAUUGCUACGCAGUGUGACAUCUAGAAAGCACCAGACUGAAUGAUGUGGAUACACAUUCUCUGCACGAUUUGGCUGUUGGCGCAUGUUCACUCCCUGAAUGGUUAUAAUACAUACAUUUAACAAUACAAAUGUUGCUUGAAGUGUCUUUGCCUUGGCUAUGCAGCUUAUAGUCUUUGUGCUUGACAGCUUUGUGUCCAAUUCUUUAGGCCUAAGAAAGAUUUUACCCUUCUGCUCUUCUUAAAAUAUUCAGAAU